CUGGGAAUAUUUACGACCGCUCUUAGGAACGAAAAAAAUAUGGUCAAAUUCUCCAAAAAAAUACCUCACCUUACUUCCACAGUGUAUCGCUUGUUAUCUGACCGCUUACUAUGUCAAAAAGAACCCAUUUUAGCGAGUUAUCCAUUUCUAGGUUUACUACCUACAUAAGAGGGCAUCUCUUACUGCACGAGUUACUAACCAAAUUUGCAUGCGAGUCAAGAGGUCCUCUGAGGUAAAUUUGCAUCAAAACGACCGAAGAAGCUUUCGGUCUCGAAAUGAACAACUAAAUCAAAAACAGCGUCGAUGUGAACAAUGAAAAAAACCAGAGAAAAGUUAGUAUUCUUAUCAGAAUUUUUAUUUGGACUUAAGACAACAGCAUCACAGUGCGGAUAGUACUCCUAUCACAAUCAGGCAACUUGAGUCACUCAUAAGACUCACUCAGAAAGAAACGCCAUUCCGCGUACAAGGAGGCGAUUUCUAACGAUCACGGCUUGAGAUGCGCGAAAAGGCUAGCCAACAAGACGGCAAGGAUGUGGUGGAGAUCAUGAAUUACAAGCUCCUGGACACGUUUAACCACGACUUUGGAAAUCUGGAUUUUCAACGCUCUCAACAUGGCUCCGGAAAGAGCUCAAGAGCACAGUCAAAACGCUUCGUUGCAGAGCUAAGUCGCAUUUCAGAGAGGGAAUACAACUCACUUUUCAUUGUUGCGAAGGUAACUGGGACGCUUUUCUU